rnacentral:rRNA from 1 species
AUGGUCCAACUACAGAACUUCUUCUUUUUCAUUACUUCCAUGGUCGUGCCCCGUGGCACGGCAGCACCCGUACUAUUGAAAUGGUUCGUCAUUGGAGAUGUUCCCACUGGUGCCUCUUCUUCCAAUGGUACUAUAAUUCCUAUUCCUAUCCCUUUAUUCCCUUUUUUGUUCUAUCUACAUUUAAGGAAAUUCAUACGCUCCAUGGACAGAGCAAAAAGUGGAGUGUUGGUCAAAGCAAGCUGCCCUAUUCUAUUACCAGACAAAAUGGAGAGAAGCUCAUCCGCUAGAAAUGCUUUAUUUCGUUUCGUUCCCGUUCUUCAUUUCCUUAUUAUCGAAUCCAUGGGGGACUUGUCAUAUUUAGAAUCUUUCUGCGGUCUGCUCUGUUUACAAUUCUUUCGUACUCUCUUCUCUUUACCACGCGAUAGGUCAGGGAAGCGUGAGCGGGCGCUCCGAAGUAAAGGCCAAACACUUUGGCCUAAGGGGAAUGAGCAACAAAAUGACAAGACGAGGUGCCCCGGGCACCCCGGUUUGGUAAGGGAGCUAUUCUCUCACUUAAACCACUCCCAUAUUAGGUAUUCUAUCUCGUCUUAA